GAUGAACGCUGGCGGCGUGCCUAAUACAUGCAAGUCGAGCGAACAGACGAGGAGCUUGCUCCUCUGACGUUAGCGGCGGACGGGUGAGUAACACGUGGAUAACCUACCUAUAAGACUGGGAUAACUUCGGGAAACCGGAGCUAAUACCGGAUAAUAUAUUGAACCGCAUGGUUCAAUAGUGAAAGACGGUUUUGCUGUCACUUAUAGAUGGAUCCGCGCCGCAUUAGCUAGUUGGUAAGGUAACGGCUUACAAGGCGACGAUGCGUAGCCGACCUGAGAGGGUGAUCGGCCACACUGGAACUGAGACACGGUCCAGACUCCUACGGGAGGCAGCAGUAGGGAAUCUUCCGCAAUGGGCGAAAGCCUGACGGAGCAACGCCGCGUGAGUGAUGAAGGUCUUCGGAUCGUAAAACUCUGUUAUUAGGGAAGAACAAAUGUGUAAGUAACUAUGCACGUCUUGACGGUACCUAAUCAGAAAGCCACGGCUAACUACGUG
rnacentral:rRNA from 1 species